AACGAACGCUGGCGGCAUGCCUAACACAUGCAAGUCGAACGAUACCUUCGGGUCUUGUGGCGCACGGGUGCGUAACGCGUGGGAACCUGCCUUUAGGUUCGGAAUAACUCAGAGGAAUUUGAGCUAAUACCGGAUGAUGUCUUCGGACCAAAGAUUUAUCGCCUUUAGAUGGGCCCGCGUUGGAUUAGCUAGUUGGUGGGGUAAAGGCCUACCAAGGCGACGAUCCAUAGCUGGUCUGAGAGGAUGAUCAGCCACACUGGGACUGAGACACGGCCCAGACUCCUACGGGAGGCAGCAGUGGGGAAUAUUGGACAAUGGGCGAAAGCAUGAGCCAGCAAUGCCGCGUGAGUGAUGAAGGCCUUAGGGUUGUAAAGCUCUUUUAACCGAGAUGAUAAUGACAGUAGCGGGAGAAUAAGCGCCGGCUAACUCCGUG
rnacentral:rRNA from 1 species